CAGUAGCCACGGGAAUACGUAGGUGGCAAGCGUUGUCCGGAAUUAUUGGGCGUAAAGCACGCGCAGGUGGUUUGAUAAGUCUGAAGUUAAAGGCUGUGGCUCAACCAUAGUUCGCUUUGGAAACUGUCAAACUUGAGUGCAGAAGGGGAGAGUGGAAUUCCAUGUGUAGCGGUGAAAUGCGUAGAUAUAUGGAGGAACACCGGUGGCGAAAGCGGCUCUCUGGUCUGUAACUGACGCUGAGGCUCGAAAGCGUGGGGAGCGAACAGGAUUAGAUACCCCAGUAGUCCCUGUCUCUUAUACA
rnacentral:rRNA from 1 species